UGUGUGUAGUGAUGAGUACCUGAAUUCAAGCGUCAAGCAUGGCGCCCGAACAGCAUGAGGAAACUUUACUGUUGCCUUCCUUCUGAUUAAAGCACA